rnacentral:rRNA from 1 species
GACGAACGCUGGCGGCGCGCUUAACACAUGCAAGUCGAACGGAAAGGCCUGCUUUCCCUUGUGGAUUGCGGGUACUCGAGUGGCGAACGGGUGAGUAACACGUGAGUGAUCUGCCCCCAACUUGGGUAUAAGCCUGGGAAACUGGGUCUAAUUCCCGAUAGGACUGCAGGGUGGUGCCUGUGGUGGAAAACGAUUUUCUAGUGGUUGGGGAUGAGCUCGCGGCCUAUCAGCUUGUUGGUGGGGUAAUGGCCUACCAAGGCGGCGACGGGUAGCCGGCCUGAGAGGGUGGACGGCGACAUUGGGACUGAGAUACGGCCCAGAAUCCUACGGGAGGCAGCAGUGGGGAAUAUUGCACAAUGGGCGGAAGCCUGAUGCAGCGACGCCGCGUGGGGGAUGACGGCCUUCGGGUUGUAAACUCCUUUCGACCGCGAGGAAGCCACCUGGUUAGAAGGGUGGUGACGGUAGUGGUAGAAGAAGCGCCGGCUAACUACGUG